CCUAGCUAUCGACCAAUGAAGGAAGAGCUAACGGCAUCGUUGUUCCAAUGAGAUUUUGGCAAGAGGCGGGUGCGCUUGGUUAUCAUUGCGUUUUAUCAAGUUCGUUAGACGUGAUGGGGGCGCGGCAUGUUUUGGACCAGAACAAUAAAAGGACGUAAAAACAAAAAAAAACUGCGGAUGCUGGAAAUCCAAAACAAAAACAGAAUUACCUGGAAAAACUCAGCAGGUCUGGCAGCAUCGGCGGAGAAGAAGAGAGUUGACGUUUCGAGUCCUCAUGACCCUUCAACAGAACUGGGUGGUCAAUGAUUGAUAACUGAGUGGAGCCAGUGUAGGGCGGGUCUUCAUUCAGUUUGCUCAGUGGUUUGAAACGGUAACAAGUCUGAAGCAGGAGGAGCUGCAAUUAUUUCCACAUUGAAUGGUUUGACGUGUUAGUUCAACGUGGCGAAAGGAGACUUAUUUCAGAACCAAAGCAGAAAAAAAAAACAUUUAGUCCAUCGUGCCUAUGCUGGCACUGUGGUAGAACUAACCAAUUAAUGCAUUGGCUGUUAACGUAAUCAAAUGAACUAAAAGCAAGGAUGUUCUCAAGCAAAAUAGGACAUGGAACCACAUAAGGAGAUAUGAGGGCAGAUAACCAAAAGCUUGGUCAAGGAGAUGGAUUUUAAGUGAACAUAAAUUUGAUGCUGUGAGAUUUAUUUAAUAAGGCCCAGGAAUGAUCACUGUUGCUGUUCUCAGAACUCUUUCAAUGUUCUUUCAGAGGAACUGUUAGGCAACAAAUAAUGGGAUUUGUUCAAAAAUGCUCAGAAUUGACCACAAUAUUUGUUCAAGAGCUGUCAUUGGAGCACUGGGAGGAAUGGAAACAUGCACACGACCAGAAAGAUAAGUGAGGGAGAUUACCUAGCCCAGCCAGCUCAUCCUGUUAUGUAAAUCUACUGACCCUUGAACUGUCUCUUGGAAAAAAAUCCAGAUUUUUCAGCAUUAACCUUGGUGGAUGAUCAUUCCAGGUACUGAUAUUCUUGGAUGAAAAAAUUGCUUCUUUAAUAUCAGAUCUUGCCUUUUACCAGUUGACACCUCUUUCUGGUUGAACUUAAAAUACUGAACCAGAUUUACCUUUUCUAUUCUGCAUUGUAUUACACAGACCCCUACAAAGUUCCCUCUUGUUGAUCAACCUUGUGGCUUUUCUUUGCACUGCCUUCACAGGUUAGUCUCUCAUCUGAAUCAGUGACCAGCAAUUAAUCUAGUAAUUAAAGUAUGCCUGACCAGUUUCAGCAUGACAACCCAGACUUAUAUCUUACCGAUUUCUCAAUACAGCUCAGAACUUGUUGAUUACAUAAUGCCUGGACAUGACUGACAAGAUAUUCCUACCCUGGACAUGACUAGCAAGAUAUUCCUAUCCUCAGUUUUGGUUGCACCUGGAGCAUUGUGUGCAGUUUUGGUCUCCUUACCUAAGUUAGGAUAUACUUGCCAUAGAGAGAAUGCAGCAAAGGUUCACCAGAUUGAUUUCUGGGAUGGCAGGAU